AUUGAACGCUGGCGGCAUGCCUUACACAUGCAAGUCGAACGGUAACGGGCCUUCGGGUGCCGACGAGUGGCGAACGGGUGAGUAAUGUAUCGGAACGUACCUUUCAGUGGGGGAUAACGUAGCGAAAGUUACGCUAAUACCGCAUAUUCUGUGAGCAGGAAAGCAGGGGAUCGCAAGACCUUGCGCUGAUUGAGCGGCCGAUAUCAGAUUAGCUAGUUGGUGAGGUAAAGGCUCACCAAGGCGACGAUCUGUAGCGGGUCUGAGAGGAUGAUCCGCCACACUGGAACUGAGACACGGUCCAGACUCCUACGGGAGGCAGCAGUGGGGAAUUUUGGACAAUGGGGGCAACCCUGAUCCAGCCAUGCCGCGUGAGUGAAGAAGGCCUUCGGGUUGUAAAGCUCUUUCGGCCGGGAAGAAAUCGUAUCAGCUAAUACCUGGUGCGGAUGACGGUACCGGCAUAAGAAGCACCGGAUAACUACGUGCCAGCAGCAGCCGCAGUAA
rnacentral:rRNA from 1 species